rnacentral:snRNA from 1 species
GUGCUCACUUCGCAGCACAUAUGCAAAAAUUGGAAUGAUACAGAGAAGAUUAGCAUAGCCCCCGUGCAAAGAAGACAUACAAAUUUGUGGAGCAUUCCAUAUUUUU